GGGCGGUUUGGUGUGAAUUCGUGUUCACAUCGCGGGGGUCGCUGGUUCGAGUCCAGCAUCGCCCACCA
rnacentral:tRNA from 1 species